GAAUGGCAAUGAAUUUACCAACAGAGGUCAAUGGGGCUUCUUCCCAUUGUAAUUUUCUAGUAUUAGAGGUGUCUGAGAGGCUUAGACCAGCUGUCUCAUCUGGUGCUGAGGGCCCAUAUAAGGUUCUUCGUCUACUGAAUGAGCAUAGCGGAGAAGAGUGUACUGUGUAUUUGUGG